UACAGAGGUCUCAAGCGUUGUUCGGAUUCAUUGGGCGUAAAGGGUGCGUAGGCGGCGCGGUAAGUCGGGUGUGAAAUCUUGGAGCUUAACUCCGAAACUGCAUUCGAUACUGCCGCGCUUGAGGACUGGAGAGGAGACUGGAAUUUACGGUGUAGCGGUGAAAUGCGUAGAUAUCGUAAGGAAGACCAGUGGCGAAGGCGGGUCUCUGGACAGUUCCUGACGCUGAGGCACGAAGGCCAGGGGAGCGAAACGGG
rnacentral:rRNA from 1 species